rnacentral:rRNA from 1 species
CGCUGAAGCACCUUCGGGUGUGGAUGAGUGGCGAACGGGUGAGUAACACGUGGGUAACCUGCCCUGUACUUUGGGAUAAGCCCUGGAAACGGGGUCUAAUACCGAAUAUGACUUUGCACCGCAUGUUGUGGGGUGGAAAGUUUCGGCGGUACAGGAUGGGCCCGCGGCCUAUCAGCUUGUUGGUGGGGUAGUGGCCUACCAAGGCGACGACGGGUAGCCGGCCUGAGAGGGUGACCGGCCACACUGGGACUGAGACACGGCCCAGACUCCUACGGGAGGCAGCAGUGGGGAAUAUUGCACAAUGGGCGGAAGCCUGAUGCAGCGACGCCGCGUGAGGGAUGACGGCCUUCGGGUUGUAAACCUCUUUCGCCAGGGACGAAGCGCAAGUGACGGUACCUGGAGAAGAAGCACCGGCUAACUACGUGCCAGCAGCCGCGGUAAUACGUAGGGUGCAAGCGUUGUCCGGAAUUAUUGGGCGUAAAGAGCUCGUAGGCGGCUUGUCGCGUCUGCUGUGAAAAUCCGGGGCUUAACUCCGGACCUGCAGUGGAUACGGGCAGGCUUGAGUUCGGUAGGGGAGACUGGAAUUCCUGGUGUAGCGGUGAAAUGCGCAGAUAUCAGGAGGAACACCGGUGGCGAAGGCGGGUCUCUGGGCCGAUACUGACGCUGAGGAGCGAAAGCGUGGGGAGCGAACAGGAUUAGAUACCCUGGUAGUCCACGCUGUAAACGUUGGGCGCUAGGUGUGGGCGACUUCCACGUUGUCCGUGCCGUAGCUAACGCAUUAAGCGCCCCGCCU